UCGUAACAAGGUCUCCGUUGGUGAACCAGCGGAGGGAUCAUUACCGAGUUUUCAACUCCCAAACCCUUAUGUGAACCUACCUAUCGUUGCUUCGGCGGACUCGCCCCAGCCGGACGCGGACUGGACCAGCGGCCGCCGGGGACCAUCAAACUCUUGUAUUAUCAGCAUCUUCUGAAUACGCCGCAAGGCAAAACAAAUAAAUUAAAACUUUCAACAACGGAUCUCUUGGCUCUGGCAUCGAUGAAGAACGCAGCGAAAUGCGAUAAGUAAUGUGAAUUGCAGAAUCCAGUGAAUCAUCGAAUCUUUGAACGCACAUUGCGCCCGCCAGCAUUCUGGCGGGCAUGCCUGUUCGAGCGUCAUUUCAACCCUCGACCUCCCUUUGGGGAAGUCGGCGUUGGGGACCGGCAGCACACCGCCGGCCCUGAAAUGGAGUGGCGGCCCGUCCGCGGCGACCUCUGCGUAGUAAACCAACUCGCACCGGAACCCCGACGUGGCCACGCCGUAAAACACCCAACUUCUGAACGUUGACCUCGAAUCAGGUAGGACUACCCGCUGAACUUAAGC
rnacentral:rRNA from 1 species